AGAAAAAAAUGCUGAAAGGACAAGGAACAUUUGAUGGGGAAGAAAAUGCUGUCCUGUAUCAGAACUACAAAGAAAAGGCUCUUGAUAUUGACUCUGAUGAAGAGUCGGAGCCCAAAGAACAGAAGUCAGAUGAAAAAAUUGUGAUUCACCACAAGCCACUGAGGUCCACAUGGAGCCAGCUCUCUGCGGUAA